GCAUGUUGUGUCUCGUGCUGGGGACACAACGGCCGUUGUGCUCUUGGGUCUGAGUGCAUGUGAAGCUGUGCUUGCUGCAAUGUCAGGUCUCUGUGUGGGUGAGACCAGCUACAUCUCUCCUGGCUCCCAGGGUUGCACAGAAGAAGGCUCAGGCAGAGGGGCUCAGGGGCAGCUGAAUGCCUCCAACUCUGCCCAUGGCCAUGAAUUGCUGCUGUUGCUAGGUUCAGAAGAAAGGCAUAGGCUGGAAUCAUGUUUGACUUGACUGCAACAGCUCAUGCCGUAGCCUGUCCUGCUCUAGCUGUGCUGCAGAAUUACCCCAAAACAGGCCCUGUAUGCCAGGCGAACACUGACACCACCUCUGGACACUGUGGAUGAAGUGGCUCUGCAGCCAAGGUCUGUAACACCGAGAGAGAGCCUCCAGGAGGCUCAGGGGUGGGGAGGUAGGUGGGAGGUGUCACCUCCCUUGGCUGCAAGAUUCAAAAGAUGGCCAAAUAAAUAACAGUAAUUGAACUGGAAAACCA
rnacentral:lncRNA from 1 species